AGCGCGAUGUCUGACGGUGCAGACGCAUCCGGGCAGGCUCUCUGCAAGAAAUGUAAAAAGCAAACUAACAGUGGCCCCAAAUGUAUUACAUGUGGAGCCAAUUAUCAUACAAGUUGUGCUAAGCUUAUAAAAAAAGCCAAGUUUAUAAACGAUAACGAAGUUAACUGUUGUGCUGUGAGUGAUACCGGCGAAAUUAGUGAUUGCGAAUCUCUUGCUCAAAGUGAAGAUACGUUUAGCUCCCUCAGGAACGAAAUCAAGUACCUCAAGACAAUUAUCGAUCACAAAGAUGUAAUCAUCAAGGAAUUAGAUGAAAAAAUCCACCUUCUUAAAGUCAAUGCAGCGCUCAUAGAGGUAAUCGAAGGCCAACUUAAAAACGAUCGCGAUAAUGGAAGAGAAGUUCGCGAAAAAGUGAAUGCAGGUAAACAAGCCUGGCUUAUCAACAGCGAUGAACCUCCGAAAGUACCUUUCAACUUGCAACGUCCUGCGACGAUGAUGGAUAAGGGUUUGCCAAAUUCCAAAAACCUGACAAAAAAUAGGGACAGAACAUUUCCUCCCACAUUACAAGUAACAAUUCCUUCAACUUCCGGAGUCUCUACUGCUGAUACCAACACAAAAACGCCGCAGAGUGAUAAAGAGGACGGCUUCAUUCUGGUCCAAAACAAAAAAAAGAAGGCAUCCGCGUCUACCAAAGUGGCCCCACAGAGCUUACAAGCAACUAAACCGAUCUCGGGAGCUUCUAGAAAAAAACCAAUGAUUGGCUCAUCAGCCAAUUAGAUCCGGACACCAAGGUCGAGAAUAUCCUGGACUAUAUCAAGCCCCAUGUGUCCAUAGCAAACUGCGAAAGACUACAAUCGAAAAAUCCAACCCUAUACUCGUCAUUCAAGCUAUCUGUGCCACUAGGAGAACUUGAGCAAGUCAUGAAUUCUUCCAUCUGGCCCUGUGGAGUUACUAUAAAUCGUUUUUUCUUCAGGCGCCCCCAAAACAACAAUCCACCAAACCAGAGUGUAGUGGCGUAACUGUGUUAAAUUUAUAUCACCUUAAUAUUCAAAGCUUAAAAAACAAAAUUUUAGAUCUAGAAGCCUUUUUGCUGUCCGAUGGCCCUUUUGAAGUACUAUGUAUCAAUGAGCAUUGGAUGGCGGCUAAUGAAAUCGAGGUUCUUAAAUUAGGAAAUUAUUGUACAGUUUCUAGCUUUUGCAGAACUUUGCGCUAUCAUGGUGGAGUAAGUAUUUUUGUUCAUAAUUCCAUGACUCAUUGCAAAUCUUUGAGUUUUGAUAGUAUUGAGUUUGAUUUUGAAGUUUCUGGAUGUUUAUUAAAUGACAACUUAAAUGUAGUUACAUUGUAUCGUUCACCUUCGGGGAAUUUUGAUGUUUUUCUGAAAAAAUUAAAUUUAAUGCUUUCGUCUUUAACCAAAACCAAUAAUAAAAUUAUUGUAACAGGCGAUUUCAAUGUGAAAUUUGGCACUUCGGAUAAGCUUGCUGUUGCUUUGGUUAAUACAUUUCUUUCAUAUGGUUUAUACUCAACUGUUUUUACUCCAACUCGAGGAAAUUCCUGCCUAGAUAACAUUUUCACUAACUUUCAAAUCAAUGAUUAUCAAGUAACAACUCAUGAUCCAGGAUUAUCUGAUCAUUGUGGUGUAUGUAUGAGUGUCUUUGUUCCUACUUCGUCUCUAGUGGCAAAUGAAAGUUCUAAUACCAAAUAUAGACCUAUAACUGCUUUAGGAUUAUUCCACCUAUAUAACUUUAUUGAAAAUAUCAACUGGGAUUUUAUCAACAAUACUAACAAUGAUGUUGAAGACUUAUUUACUCAAUUUAACAGUAUUCUAGUACAUUAUGUAUCUAUUUGUUUUCCUGAAAAAAUUUUAUCCACUCGAGCAUCAAAAAAUUGGUUUAAUGACAAUUUGCGAUCUUUACGUAACAUGCAAACUCUGCUUUUUCAACUUCAAAACAAACAGAUUAUUGAUAAAGAGGUU